UCGAGCGGAAGUUGGGAGCUUGCUCCCUUCGUUUAGCGGCGGACGGGUGAGUAACACGUGGGCAACCUGCCCUGCAGAUCGGGAUAACUCCGGGAAACCGGUGCUAAUACCGAAUAGUUUUUUGCCCCUCCUGGGGCGGAACGGAAAGACGGUUUCGGCUGUCACUGCAGGAUGGGCCCGCGGCGCAUUAGCUAGUUGGUGGGGUAACGGCCCACCAAGGCGACGAUGCGUAGCCGACCUGAGAGGGUGAUCGGCCACACUGGGACUGAGACACGGCCCAGACUCCUACGGGAGGCAGCAGUAGGGAAUCUUCCGCAAUGGACGAAAGUCUGACGGAGCAAUGCCGCGUGAGUGACGAAGGUUUUCGGAUCGUAAAACUCUGUUGUAAGGGAAGAACAAGUACCAAGUAACUACUGGUACCUUGACGGCACCUUACCAGAAAGCCACGGCUAACUACGUGCCAGCAGCCGCGGUAAUACGUAGGUGGCAAGCGUUGUCCGGAAUUAUUGGGCGUAAAGCGCGCGCAGGCGGUCCCUUAAGUCUGAUGUGAAAGCCCACGGCUCAACCGUGGAGGGUCAUUGGAAACUGGGGGACUUGAGUGCAGAAGAGGAAAGUGGAAUUCCAUGUGUAGCGGUGAAAUGCGUAGAGAUGUGGAGGAACACCAGUGGCGAAGGCGACUUUCUGGUCUGUAACUGACGCUGAGGCGCGAAAGCGUGNGGAGCAAACAGGAUUAGAUACCCUGNUAGUCCACGCCGU
rnacentral:rRNA from 1 species